GAACCUUCAAACCUUCAUACAUGAAAGGUCAAGCAAAAGUGUAAAAUGGUCGGUGAUUUACAAUAUAGCUCUUGACAUAGCUCAUGCUUUAGCUUACCUGCACUACUCAUGUGUGCCCCGAAUACUUCAUCGGGAUAUUAAGCCUAGUAACAUCCUGCUGGAUGAGGAGCUUAAAGCCUAGCCAAACCAAAGUCUGAUAGG
rnacentral:misc_RNA from 1 species